UAGGGAAUCUUCGGCAAUGGACGAAAGUCUGACCGAGCAACGCCGCGUGAGUGAAGAAGGUUUUCGGAUCGUAAAACUCUGUUGUUUGAGAAGAACAAGGACGUUAGUAACUGAACGUCCCCUGACGGUAUCUAACCAGAAAGCCACGGCUAACUACGUGCCAGCAGCCGCGGUAAUACGUAGGUGGCAAGCGUUGUCCGGAUUUAUUGGGCGUAAAGCGAGCGCAGGCGGUUUCUUAAGUCUGAUGUGAAAGCCCCCGGCUCAACCGGGGAGGGGCAUUGGAAACUGGGAGACUUGAGUGCAGAAGAGGGGAGUGGAAUUCCAUGUGUAGCGGUGAAAUGCGUAGAUAUAUGGAGGAACACCAGUGGCGAAGGCGGCUCUCUGGUCUGUAACUGACGCUGAGGCUCGAAAGCGUGGGGAGCAAACAGG
rnacentral:rRNA from 1 species